rnacentral:rRNA from 1 species
AGAUUGAACGCUAGCGGCAUGCCUAACACAUGCAAGUCGAACGGUAACAGGCCCUUCGGGUGGCUGACGAGCGGCGGACGGGUGAGUAAGGCAUCGGAGUCUGCCCUGAUGUGGGGGAGUAACGUAGGAAACGUUACGCUAAUACCGCAUACGACCGAGAGGUGAAAGCGGGGACCGGAAGGACCUCGCGCAGCAGGAUGAGCCGAUGUCCGAUUAGCUAGUUGGUGGGGUAACGGCCGUACCAAGGCGACGAUCGGUAGCUGGCCUGAGAGGAUGAUCAGCCACACUGGGACUGAGACACGGCCCAGACUCCUACGGGAGGCGAGC